UAGCUCACUGGUCGAGUCGGCCUGCGCGGAAGAUGUAACGGGGCUAAACCAUGCACCGAAGCUGCGGCAGCGACACUUAGGUGUUGUUGGGUAGGGGAGCGUUCUGUAAGCCGUUGAAGGUGACCUGUGAGGGUUGCUGGAGGUAUCAGAAGUGCGAAUGCUGACAUAAGUAACGAUAAUGCGGGUGAAAAGCCCGCACGCCGGAAGACCAAGGGUUCCUGUCCAACGUUAAUCGGGGCAGGGUGAGUCGACCCCUAAGGCGAGGCUGAAAAGCGUAGUCGAUGGGAAACAGGUUAAUAUUCCUGUACUUGGUGUUACUGCGAAGGGGGGACGGAGAAGGCUAGGCUAGCCGGGCGACGGUUGUCCCGGUUUAAGCAUGUAGGCGGAGUGACUUGGUAAAUCCGGUUGCUUAUCAACGCUGAGGUGUGAUGACGAGCCACUACGGUGGUGAAGUAGUUGAUGCCAAGCUUCCAGGAAAAGCCUCUAAGCAUCAGGUAACAUUAAAUCGUACCCCAAACCGACACAGGUGGUCAGGUAGAGAAUACUCAGGCGCUUGAGAGAACUCGGGUGAAGGAACUAGGCAAAAUGGUGCCGUAACUUCGGGAGAAGGCACGCUGGCAUUAGGUAAAGAGACUUGCUCUCGGCGCCGAAGCCAGUCGCAGAUACCAGCUGGCUGCAACUGUUUAAUAAAAACACAGCACUGUGCAAACACGAAAGUGGACGUAUACGGUGUGACGCCUGCCCGGUGCUGGAAGGUUAAUUGAUGGGGUCAGCCGCAAGGCGAAGCUCUUGAUCGAAGCCCCAGUAAACGGCGGCCGUAACUAUAACGGUCCUAAGGUAGCGAAAUUCCUUGUCGGGUAAGUUCCGACCUGCACGAAUGGCGUAAUGAUGGCCAGGCUGUCUCCACCCGAGACUCAGUGAAAUUGAACUCGCUGUGAAGAUGCAGUGUACCCGCGGCAAGACGGAAAGACCCCGUGAACCUUUACUAUAGCUUGACACUGAACAUUGAGCCUUGAUGUGUAGGAUAGGUGGGAGGCAUCGAAGUGUGGACGCCAGUCUGCAUGGAGCCAACCUUGAAAUACCACCCUUUAAUGUUUGAUGUUCUAACUCGGCCCCGUAAUCCGGGGUGAGGACAGUGUCUGGUGGGUAGUUUGACUGGGGCGGUCUCCUCCCAAAGAGUAACGGAGGAGCACGAAGGUUAGCUAAUCACGGUCGGACAUCGUGAGGUUAGUGCAAAGGCAUAAGCUAGCUUGACUGCGAGAGUGACGGCUCGAGCAGGUACGAAAGUAGGUCUUAGUGAUCCGGUGGUUCUGAAUGGAAGGGCCAUCGCUCAACGGAUAAAAGGUACUCCGGGGAUAACAGGCUGAUACCGCCCAAGAGUUCAUAUCGACGGCGGUGUUUGGCACCUCGAUGUCGGCUCAUCACAUCCUGGGGCUGAAGUAGGUCCCAAGGGUAUGGCUGUUCGCCAUUUAAAGUGGUACGCGAGCUGGGUUUAGAACGUCGUGAGACAGUUCGGUCCCUAUCUGCCGUGGGCGUUGGAAGAUUGAGAGGGGCUGCUCCUAGUACGAGAGGACCGGAGUGGACGAAUCACUGGUGUUCGGGUUGUCAUGCCAAUGGCAUUGCCCGGUAGCUAAAUUCGGAAGAGAUAACCGCUGAAAGCAUCUAAGCGGGAAACUUGCCUCGAGAUGAGUCUUCCCUGGGGCUUUAAGCCCCCUGAAGGAACGUUAAAGACUAUGACGUUGAUAGGCUGGGUGUGUAAGUGCAGCGAUGUAUUGAGCUAACCAGUACUAAUGAUCCGUGAGGCUUAACCUU
rnacentral:rRNA from 2 species